UGGGGAAUAUUGCACAAUGGAGGAAACUCUGAUGCGGCGACGCCGCGUGAGCGAUGAAGUAUUUCGGUAUGUAAAGCUCUAUCAGCAGGGAAGAUAAUGACGGUACCUAAGGAGGAAGCUCCGGCUAACUACGUGCCAGCAGCCGCGGUAAUACGUAGGGAGCAAGCGUUAUCCGGAUUUAUUGGGUGUAAAGGGUGCGUAGACGGGACAACAAGUUAGUUGUGAAAUCCCUCGGCUUAACUGAGGAACUGCAACUAAAACUAUUGUUCUUGAGUGUUGGAGAGGAAAGUGGAAUUCCUAGUGUAGCGGUGAAAUGCGUAGAUAUUAGGAGGAACACCGGUGGCGAAGGCGACUUUCUGGACAAUAACUGACGUUGAGGCACGAAAGUGUGGGGAGCAAACAGGAUUAGAUACCCUGGUAGU
rnacentral:rRNA from 1 species